rnacentral:rRNA from 1 species
UACGAAGGUGGCUAGCGUUGUUCGGCCUUACUGGGCGUAAAGCGCGCGCAGGCGGCUAUCCAAGUCAGUGGUGAAAGCCCGGAGCUCAACUCCGGAACUGCCAUUGAAACUGUUUAGCUUGAGGACGAGAGAGGUGAGUGGAAUUCCCAGUGUAGAGGUGAAAUGCGUAGAUAUUGGGAAGAACACCAGUGGCGAAGGCGGCUCACUGGCUCGUUUCUGACGCUCAGGCGCGAUAGCGUGGGGAUCAAACAGG